AACUCAAUUAUGGUAUGUGUAAUAUUUUUUUCAUAUUUUUUGUAUUAAACUAAAAUUUACUCGUUUCAUUUCUUUGUAAAAUUGUUGAUGUUGAUUUUCUGUUUUUUGACUUUCAGAUAUGUGAGUUUUGUAAAGUGUGUGUAAGAAAUAUCACUGAAGUAUCCGGUAUGUUUAAGUAAUUGAAACAUUCUUAAACACUGACAUUUUGAGGAGAGAUUCAGGCAACCUGUUCACAGUAAAUGAAGGAAGUGUUGUCAUUAUUUACAUCAAGACAUUUUUUGUAAAUUACAAUAAUUUCCUCUACAGUAGGCCUCUAUUUCUUCCAUCUUCCUUUUCCUUUUUUCCUCUCAGAUAAAAGCAGAAUUUAUGCGGAUAAAGACUGUGCCACUUCUGUCACCGUUCAUAGCAGCUGGACAGAAGUAAGUGCGAAGACAUACACAUCAAACGAGACUGUGUCAUAAAGAGUCUGUGUGUGUAUCUCAAUGGGGACAUUAUAACACUUGUCAGAGAAUUCCAGGACUGCAAUCCUGAAGGAGAUGAGGGAGGGGCUUCUGAGACCACUCUGGGCCUUUUUGUGACCCUUAAAGUGCUGAGUACUAGCCAGACGAUGUUGGAGUAGCAACAGAGGGUGUAAAACUGCUACAACACUUCAGAGUUUUUCCUUUGGAUUAAUAAUGCUGUUCAGAUUGAUCUACGCACUCAAGCUACGCUCAGAGUCUCAAAUUCACAUUUGAAUUCUUCCAGAAGGUAAUGAUGAAUUUGGACUUUAGGACAUCACAUAGAUGUCUGCAUCCCCUGGAAGGACAUUGAAAACUUUUAAACUUGUUCUGUAACGUUGAACUGAAGACAGUAUGAUCGAUGACACCAUGAACCGAUGACACUAACUCAAACUGCACCUAAUGCACCUUCUGGCUUCCUCUCUGAUACAUUUAAAGGGUUAGUUCACCAAAAAAUGAAGACUCUGUCAUUAAUUACUCUCCCUCAUGUCGUUCCACACCCGUAAGACCUUCGUUCAUCUUCAGAACACAUUUAAGAUAUUUUUGAUGAAAUCCGUGAGCUAUCUGGCCUCUGAUAGACUGCAACACAACUAUCACUUUCAAGGUCCAGAAAGGUAGUAAAGACAUCGUUAAAAUAGUCAACAUGACUGCAGUGGUUCAACCUUAAUAGUAUGAGGCGACGAGAAUACUUUUUGUGCGCAAAACAAAACAACAAAAACAAAAAAAAUGACUUAAUUCAAAAAUUUCUUCCCUUUUAUGUCAGUCUCCUACGCAGUUGAUGUUGUACACACAAAAUAUCUUAAUUUGUGUUUCGAAGAUGAACGAAGGUCUUAGGGGUUUGGAGCGACAUGAGGAUGACAGAAAUGUCAUUUUUGGGUGAAUAAACCCUUUAACAGAGAUGUUAGCCCUUGUGCUAUUCCUUGUCCAGGAAGUUAACUUGUGAGUAGGACACUUGGGCUACUGAAUGCCUAAAUGCUGAAACGUGACGGACAACAGAAUACCUGUUAUAUGUAAAGUAAAAUAUAAUCCUUCAGAUUGCUUUUCUUUUUCCCCAAGUGUCCUGAUUGUUUUAACAAAUGUUUACAAGGAAUGUAACCAUUUACAGAUCUGUAUCAAGUUUCAGAUAAGUGAAAGCACAAACUGAUUACCAUACUAUGCAGUGAGAUCCCAAUAUUACCUUGAAUAUGUGAAAAUAAUGUUUGAUGUUGAAAUUUGGUUCCUUGUUGAUCUAUGAACUUGUUGGCACACAGCCAUGACCAUUGUGUUAGUCUGGGAGAAGGCACAAAACUGCAGUAAACAGUUGCCUUAAUUUGUGAAAUACUGCAUUAUGUUCUGUUUUUUUCUGUCAGAUUGAAUGUUUCUUAUUAUUCCUGGAGCAAUUGUGACAAUAAAUGUUUAUAAAUGUAACACGUGUUUGACCAUUUAUUUAAUUUAAAUAAAGAAAUGUAAGGUAGUUAUAUAAAGCAAGUAAGAAUAAGUUAUUUGAAAAGAGUAAGGUUUAUGUAUUACACAAGCUUAAAUUGCAGUUUAUCAGUUAACAUAACCUUUAUUUAAUUCAUUCAAGUCAACUGAACAUGAUGGGGAAGCUUAAGUAAAAGUUAACUUUUUUAAGUUGGAUUUAUGUGAUUAAAUUCGAUGGAAAUUUUAUAUGCAAUUGAAUUAACUUUUGGGGUUAAAUAUUUUUUUUUUUUUUUUUUUUUUUUUUACUAUAUUCUCUAUUGCAGUUUAAUAUCAUUUUACAGUCAUAUUUACCCAAUCUUUAUUAAUUGUUAAAUCGUUUGUCAUUUGAUCAUUACUUCAAGUUCACAAUCAUUACUUUCAAAUGAUCCUAAAAUAACUGAUUGAGUAAAAGUAACCUGAAUUAUCAUGAUCAUACUGAAAUAUUCGAUCUAAUAAAAAACAAAAAAACAUACUACUUCAUGUAGGUGUCUGCUGUAAAUGUCUGGUUCAAAAAUACUUUCGAUGUCGCAUCACUAAAACAACAGCCUAAAACGGAAGCGAAAAUGGGAGGAAAC